rnacentral:rRNA from 1 species
UACGUAGGGUGCAAGCGUUAUCCGGAUUCACUGGGUUUAAAGGGUGCGUAGGCGGACAGGUAAGUCAGUGGUGAAAUCUCUGGGCUUAACUCAGAAACUGCCGUUGAUACUAUUUGUCUUGAAUAUCAUGGAGGUAAGCGGAAUAUGUCAUGUAGCGGUGAAAUGCUUAGAUAUGACAUAGAACACCGAUAGCGAAGGCAGCUUACUACAUGGAGAUUGACGCUGAGGCACGAAAGCGUGGGGAGCAAACAGG